rnacentral:rRNA from 1 species
UACAGAGGGUGCGAGCGUUGUUCGGAAUUAUUGGGCGUAAAGGGCGCGUAGGCGGUGCGGUAAGUCACCUGUGAAAUCUCCUGGCUCAACUGGGAGCUUGCAGGCGAAACUGCCGUGCUGGAGUGUGGGAGAGGUGCGUGGAAUUCCCGGUGUAGCGGUGAAAUGCGUAGAUAUUACCAGGAACACCAAUGGCGAAGGCAGCUUGCUGGGCCACUCCUGACACUGAGGUACGAAAGCGUGGGGAGCGAACAGG